CAAGAAUCAUCAAGACCAAGCAGUGGUGUGACAUGCUUCCAUGUCUGGAGGGGGAAGGCUGUGACUUGUUAAUCAACCGGUCAGGCUGGACGUGCACGCAGCCCGGCGGGAGGAUAAAGACCACCACGGUCUCCUGACAAACACAGCCCCUGAGGGGCCCCGGGAGUGGCCUUGGCUUCCUGGAGAGCCCACACCUCAGCCACAGUUCUCCACUCGCCUCGGACUUUGCCCAUUCUCUGCCGCCCGCCCACUCCGUUUCCCUGUGGUCCGUGAAGGACGGCCUCAGGCCUCGGCAUCCUGAGCUUCGGUCUGUCCAGCCGAGCCGAGGAGGCCGGACUCGGACACACAGGCGGGGGGCAGCACCUGGCAUCAGCAAUACGCAGUCUGUGGGAGCCCGGCCACGCCCAGCCCUGCCGACCGUGGCGUUGGCCCUGCUGUCCUCAGAGGAUGAGGAGGAGGAGGCGGCUCCGGCAGCCACAGAAGGCUGCGGCUCAGCCCACCUGAGACACGACGCCUGCCCCAGGGGACUGUCAGGCGCAGAAGCGGCCUCCUCCCGUGCCCCAGACUGUCCGAAUUGCUUUUAUUUUCUUAUACUUUCAGUAUAUUCCAUAGACCAAAGAGCAAAAUCUAUCUGAACGUGGACGCACCCUCACUGUCAGGGUCCCUGGGGUCGCUUGUGGGGGCGGGAGGGCAAUGGUGGCAGAGACAUGCUGGCGGCCCCGCGGAGCGGAGAGGGUGGCCGUGGUGGAGGCCUCCACCCCAGGAGCACCCCGCGCACCCUCGGAGGAUGGGCUUUGGCUGCGCGGAGGCCGUGGCACACCUGCGGGAGGCAGCCGGGGCGCGGCCGGCGAUGGCCCCCACGCAGACGCCGGGAACACAGGCCGCUUUAUUCCUCUGUACUUAGAUCGACUUGACCGUACUAAAAUCACUUUCUGUUUUAACCAGUUAAACAUGCCUCUUCUACAGCUCCAUUUUUGAUAGUUGGAUAAUCCAGUAUCUGCCAAGAGCAUGUUGGGUCUCCCGUGACUGCUGCCUCAUCAAUACUCCAUUUAGCUCCAGAAAGCAAAGCAAACUCGAGUAACACUUGUUUGAAAGAGAUCAUUAAAUGUAUUUUGCAAAGCCUAAAGUUAUAUAUUUAACAGUU